AUAUUUACCUGGCAGGGGAGAUCAGGCAUGAUCAGGCGUUUCACCCAUGGUGAGGCUCAGCCAUUGCACUCCGGCUGUGCUGACCCCUGCAAAUUCCCCAAAUGUGGGAAUCUCAACUGCAUAAUUUCUUGUAGUAGGGGACUGCCUUC
ensembl:snRNA U1 U1 spliceosomal RNA